UACAGGGGGUGCAAACGUUGCUCGGAAUUACUGGGCGUAAAGCGCACGUAGGCGGAUAUUUAAGUCAGGGGUGAAAUCCCAGAGCUCAACUCUGGAACUGCCUUUGAUACUGGGUAUCUUGAGUAUGGAAGAGGUAAGUGGAAUUCCGAGUGUAGAGGUGAAAUUCGUAGAUAUUCGGAGGAACACCAGUGGCGAAGGCGGCUUACUGGUCCAUUACUGACGCUGAGGUGCGAAAGCGUGGGGAGCAAACAGG
rnacentral:rRNA from 1 species